UGUAUGUUUGGACUCUGCUGGGAAUAUUCACGAUCUCCAGAUGUGAUUCUACAGCGGGAUAACACGCCAGGGAACUGCUGGGCCCUGCGUGGCUCUCGUGGCUAUGUCGUGGUUAAAUUAUCCAGAGUCAUCCAUCCGCUUGCUGUCACGCUGGAUCACAUUGCCAAGGAAGACUCUCAGACGGAAGAGAUAUCCAGUGCCCCAAAGAACUUUGCCAUCUAUGGGCUGAAAGAAGGCUUUGGAGAGAAGGGAGGCGCCUUCUUAGGGGAGUUUGUCUAUGAUCA